CAUAGGUUAAUGAGGCGAACCGGGGGAACUGAAACAUCUAAGUACCCCGAGGAAAAGAAAUCAACCGAGAUUCCCCCAGUAGCGGCGAGCGAACGGGGAGGAGCCCAGAGCCUGAAUCAGUGUGUGUGUUAGUGGAAGCGUCUGGAAAGGCGCGCGAUACAGGGUGACAGCCCCGUACACAAAAAUGCACAUGCUGUGAGCUCGAUGAGUAGGGCGGGACACGUGGUAUCCUGUCUGAAUAUGGGGGGACCAUCCUCCAAGGCUAAAUACUCCUGACUGACCGAUAGUGAACCAGUACCGUGAGGGAAAGGCGAAAAGAACCCCGGCGAGGGGAGUGAAAAAGAACCUGAAACCGUGUACGUACAAGCAGUGGGAGCACAGAGCAAUCUGUGUGACUGCGUACCUUUUGUAUAAUGGGUCAGCGACUUAUAUUCUGUAGCAAGGUUAACCGAAUAGGGGAGCCGAAGGGAAACCGAGUCUUAACUGGGCGUUAAGUUGCAGGGUAUAGACCCGAAACCCGGUGAUCUAGCCAUGGGCAGGUUGAAGGUUGGGUAACACUAACUGGAGGACCGAACCGACUAAUGUUGAAAAAUUAGCGGAUGACUUGUGGCUGGGGGUGAAAGGCCAAUCAAACCGGGAGAUAGCUGGUUCUCCCCGAAAGCUAUUUAGGUAGCGCCUCGUGAAUUCAUCUCCGGGGGUAGAGCACUGUUUCGGCAAGGGGGUCAUCCCGACUUACCAACCCGAUGCAAACUGCGAAUACCGGAGAAUGUUAUCACGGGAGACACACGGCGGGUGCUAACGUCCGUCGUGAAGAGGGAAACAACCCAGACCGCCAGCUAAGGUCCCAAAGUCAUGGUUAAGUGGGAAACGAUGUGGGAAGGCCCAGACAGCCAGGAUGUUGGCUUAGAAGCAGCCAUCAUUUAAAGAAAGCGUAAUAGCUCACUGGUCGAGUCGGCCUGCGCGGAAGAUGUAACGGGGCUAAACCAUGCACCGAAGCUGCGGCAGCGACACUAUGUGUUGUUGGGUAGGGGAGCGUUCUGUAAGCCUGUGAAGGUGUGCUGUGAGGCAUGCUGGAGGUAUCAGAAGUGCGAAUGCUGACAUAAGUAACGAUAAAGCGGGUGAAAAGCCCGCUCGCCGGAAGACCAAGGGUUCCUGUCCAACGUUAAUCGGGGCAGGGUGAGUCGACCCCUAAGGCGAGGCCGAAAGGCGUAGUCGAUGGGAAACAGGUUAAUAUUCCUGUACUUGGUGUUACUGCGAAGGGGGGACGGAGAAGGCUAUGUUGGCCGGGCGACGGUUGUCCCGGUUUAAGCGUGUAGGCUGGUUUUCCAGGCAAAUCCGGAAAAUCAAGGCUGAGGCGUGAUGACGAGGCACUACGGUGCUGAAGCAACAAAUGCCCUGCUUCCAGGAAAAGCCUCUAAGCAUCAGGUAACAUCAAAUCGUACCCCAAACCGACACAGGUGGUCAGGUAGAGAAUACCAAGGCGCUUGAGAGAACUCGGGUGAAGGAACUAGGCAAAAUGGUGCCGUAACUUCGGGAGAAGGCACGCUGAUAUGUAGGUGAAGCGACUUGCUCGUGGAGCUGAAAUCAGUCGAAGAUACCAGCUGGCUGCAACUGUUUAUUAAAAACACAGCACUGUGCAAACACGAAAGUGGACGUAUACGGUGUGACGCCUGCCCGGUGCCGGAAGGUUAAUUGAUGGGGUCAGCGCAAGCGAAGCUCUUGAUCGAAGCCCCGGUAAACGGCGGCCGUAACUAUAACGGUCCUAAGGUAGCGAAAUUCCUUGUCGGGUAAGUUCCGACCUGCACGAAUGGCGUAAUGAUGGCCAGGCUGUCUCCACCCGAGACUCAGUGAAAUUGAACUCGCUGUGAAGAUGCAGUGUACCCGCGGCAAGACGGAAAGACCCCGUGAACCUUUACUAUAGCUUGACACUGAACAUUGAGCCUUGAUGUGUAGGAUAGGUGGGAGGCUUUGAAGUGUGGACGCCAGUCUGCAUGGAGCCGACCUUGAAAUACCACCCUUUAAUGUUUGAUGUUCUAACGUUGACCCGUAAUCCGGGUUGCGGACAGUGUCUGGUGGGUAGUUUGACUGGGGCGGUCUCCUCCUAAAGAGUAACGGAGGAGCACGAAGGUUGGCUAAUCCUGGUCGGACAUCAGGAGGUUAGUGCAAUGGCAUAAGCCAGCUUGACUGCGAGCGUGACGGCGCGAGCAGGUGCGAAAGCAGGUCAUAGUGAUCCGGUGGUUCUGAAUGGAAGGGCCAUCGCUCAACGGAUAAAAGGUACUCCGGGGAUAACAGGCUGAUACCGCCCAAGAGUUCAUAUCGACGGCGGUGUUUGGCACCUCGAUGUCGGCUCAUCACAUCCUGGGGCUGAAGUAGGUCCCAAGGGUAUGGCUGUUCGCCAUUUAAAGUGGUACGCGAGCUGGGUUUAGAACGUCGUGAGACAGUUCGGUCCCUAUCUGCCGUGGGCGCUGGAGAACUGAGGGGGGCUGCUCCUAGUACGAGAGGACCGGAGUGGACGCAUCACUGGUGUUCGGGUUGUCAUGCCAAUGGCACUGCCCGGUAGCUAAAUGCGGAAGAGAUAAGUGCUGAAAGCAUCUAAGCACGAAACUUGCCCCGAGAUGAGUUCUCCCUGACUCCUUGAGAGUCCUGAAGGAACGUUGAAGACGACGACGUUGAUAGGCCGGGUGUGUAAGCGCAGCGAUGCGUUGAGCUAACCGGUACUAAUGAACCGUGAGGCUUAACCUUACAACGCCGAAGGUGUUU
rnacentral:rRNA from 1 species